rnacentral:lncRNA from 10 species
ACCCAAGAGGAAGGUCAGCUCUGCUGAAGGGGCCACCAAGGAAGAGCCCAAGAGGAGACUGGUGCAGUUGUCAGCUAAACCUGCUCCUGCAAAAGUGGAAUUGAAGCUGAAAAAGGCAGCAGCGAAGGAUAAAUCUUCAGACAAAAAAGUGCAAAAAAAAAAAAAAAAAAAAAAAAAAAAAGGGAAAAGGGGAGCAAAGGGAAAACAGGCCAAAGUGGUUAACCAAGAAACUAAAGUAGAGUUACCUGCAGAAAAUGGGGAAAUGAAAACUGAGGAGAGUCCAGCCUCUGAUGAAGCAGGAGAGAAAGAAACCAAGUCUGAUA